AAUUUCAGUAAAACGAGUAAACAUAUCAGUUAUGGACUCAGUAGAUUCCAUUUUAAACAAUUCAUACUUGUGUACUAAUAUGUUUACUUUUGACUCCUUAACUUGAUUGGUCCCUUCAUGAGUGACCUCAAGUUUGUCCCAAAUUUCUUUAGCAGAGAUGCAAGUAGAUAUUCUAUUAAAUUCACUUACAUCUAAUGAGCAAUAAAGUACAUUUAUAGCUUUUGCAUUUAACUGUGCCAAUCUUCUAUCACUUUCAUUCCAAUCCA
rnacentral:lncRNA from 1 species